GGGCACAUGGUGUAGUUGGUUAUCACGCCCGCUUAGCAUACCAACUAGUAUUUGCGGGCGGUCCCCGGUUCAAUUCCGGGUGUGUCCA